UACGUCUCACUGACAAACAUACAUACUGAGAGAGAGAGAGAGAGAGAGAGAGAGAGAGAGAGGAUGCUGGCGGUCAGAUGAAUAAGAUCAAGAUGGAGACAAACCAACAAAAAAGAAAAUAGCCAUGACCUACUAAAUGAUGACGAUGAUAAGGAUAGUAGUAGUAGUAGUAGUAGUAGUAAACUUUCUUCAUUUGUUUAAUAAUACGUAAAAAAUUAAAUACGUUCCAACCUAAUAAUUCUUAAUACAAAAAACUAGAAUUAAACAACCUUUAAAGCCUUCCUCCCCCCCUCCCUAACACACACACACACACACACACACACACAUGCACACUCGUAAACACAACACACACAGACUCUUUACCAUUCUCUUUACCCUCAACAUUCCCUCUCUCACAGUUAAACAUUUUCCUUCCUUUCUCUUCCACAAACGGAUAAAUAAAGAUAGAUAUACAAACUGACACAGAUAGCUAGAUAAGAUAGGAUAGGCAGACAUUAUACUGAAAACAGAAUUAGAAAACAUAUCAAACUAGCAACAGAUAACGUAAACAUACCACAUUUAUAAACACACACACAUACACACAAAAUAUUCCAUUCCUCCCAGUCAGUCCCUCAGCGGCCGGCGGCAUCUACCUCGUCCACAUCACCAUGACCACCUUCACUUUAUAGUUCCCCUGAGGCACCCAGUGAUUCCAGUCCCCUCCGCUGCUCACUCUCCCCGUUACUGACGUGUAGGAAGGUAGCGGGAAAGGGGCGGGGAGGGGGGAGGGACGAUUUAAAGGUCUACCGUUCGCUUGAUUAAUAGACCUGACUUGGGGAGAUGGAGGAGGAGGGGUCGGGGAGAAGGUCGUUGAUAAGGUAGGUGGACAAAACGAUAUAGGAAGAUGAGGAGGAGGGGGCGGGGACGAUGUCGUAGAAAAGGCAGGUGGACAAGACGAUGUAGGAAGAUGAGGAGGGGGAGAAGGUUGAAGGUAAUGAUAGGUUGAAUAGCGGUGACGAUAGAGUGGAUUUAAAAGUACCGUUCAUAGCAUACUUGUUUCUGGUCCACGGUUGGUUGGUGCAUAAAUAAGGGUGGGACGGGUGACGGUGUAAGUGGAUGAGGUACUGUCAAUGAGGCUACGGACUAACAGCGUAAUAGCUGAUGCAGGUGGAUUUAGAGUUACCGUUCAUGACUUGUUUCUCGUUGAGGAUAGAAGAGGCGGAGAUAAGUGAAGUACAGGAGCCAAAGUGUGGAAAGGUGCUAUCAAUGAGAAUAAAGCCCGGGAUUAACACAGAUGAUAAUGCGAUAACAUGGUGCAGGUGAACUUAAAGAUACCGUUCACAGCUAUUUUGGCUGAAGAUGAAAGAGGCGGUGAUAAGUGAAGUACAGGAGCCAGCGUACGAAAAGGUGCUGUCAAUGAGGCUAAAGACUGGAAUUAACACUAGAUAGCAAGGUAAUAGGGUGCAGGUGGGUUUAAAGACACCGCUCACAAUUUGUUAUCGGCGUCACAGACGCCGAUCAACAGAUUGUCCAUCUUCUUAGUGUUGUUGUUGUUCUCUCCAAAUUGUUUUCCUGGCUUACCCAUGCAUUGUAGACAUGACAUUGUAUAAUAGCAUUUGUUAGCCCUGAUGAACCCUACAAUAUAGCAUUAUAGGCAAAGGCAAAGUCAGCAAAGGCCGGUAGGCCUUCACAGUAGGACCUGAUGGUCGGCCCCAGCCCGUUGUGACGCAGGCAAGUGUUUAUAGUGGCGCCAUCUUUACUCUUCAGCAUUUUCCAUUUUAGAACCCUAGUUGCAUAAUAUAAAUUGUUGGGAGGGUGUUGGAGGGUCAUGCGACGCCGAUUUAACACAGUUUUUGUGCUAUUAACACUUGUUUCUGGUUAAGAGGUGGAGAUGAGUGAAGUGCAGGAGCCAGUGUAUGCAAAGGAGGUGUUAUCAAUGAGGCUAAUGACUGGAAUUAACACUAGAUAGGGAGAUAACAGGGUGCAGGUGGGUUUAAGAUACCGUUCACAGCUUGCUUCUGGUUAAGGAUGGGCGAGGUGGAGAUGAGUGAAGUACGGGAGCCAGUGUAUGGAAAAGAGGUGCUGUCAAUAAGGCUAAAGACUGCAAUUAAUAACUAGGUAGCGAGAUAGAAGGGUGGAAGUGGAUUGAAAGAUACCGUUCACGGCUUGUUUCUGUUAUAAGGACAGAAGAGGCGGAGGCAAGUGAAGUACAGGAGCCAGCGUAAGAAAUGGAGGUGCUGUCAAUGAGGCUAAAGACUGAAGGUAGCGGGGUCACAGGGCGUGUUUCAAGAUGUCGCUCACAACUUGUUUCUGGUAAGGGAUGAACGAGGUGAUGAGGGAAAUACAGAAGCCAAAGUAAGAAAAGAGGUGCUGUCAAUGAAGCUAAAGACUGAGAUUAACACUGUAGAUUGCGAGAAAAAAGGAUGCAGGUAGAUUUAGAUACCGUUCACAUGUCAAGGAUGGAAGAGGCGGAGAUAAGUGAAGUAGGUACAGGAGCCAGUGUAUGGAAAGGAGGUGCUGUCAAUGAGGCUAAGACAGGAAUUAACACUGUAGGUAGGGAGUCAUCGAGUGCAGGUGGAGCUAAAGAUACCGUAUUUUUUCUGGCUUAUAGAAAGGACGAGGUGGAGAUAAGUAAAGUAAAGGAGCCAGCAUAUGCAAAGAGGUGAUGUCAAUGAGACUUAGGACUGAGAUUAACAUUGUAGGCAGCGGGGUAACAGGGUGCAGGUGGAUUUAAAGCUCCGGCUCACGACUUGCUUCUAGCGCAGAGUGGUGGGCGGGGCACAGAUAAGGCAAGUGCAGAUGGCGGUGUAAGUGGAUGGGUGGAACAGCGGCAGUGGGAUGGGACGGACUGCCUGGUGGAACGUAGUGAGAGGAGGGUGAAGGGGUGUGUGGAAAGGGUGUGUGGAAAGGGAAAGCGACGCCGAAGGGUGGCAAAGCGGAGAGCUGGGAGAAAGGAAAUGGACGGGGGUGAAACGAGGGAGUGUAAGAUGGUGGAAGAGAAGGAGGAGAAGAGGAUGGAGGAGAAGGAUGGUGCUUGGAGUAGGUGCCUGAGAACAAGAGGAGGGGAGAGGAGAGCAAACAUAAGAGGUGUAGGUGGAUGGACUGAAGAGGAAGAAGAGGAGGCGGCGGCAAGAAGUGGGAGGGGAUUGUUGAGAGUUGGGAUUGCUGGAGGCCGUAUGCGGUCAAGUCUUGGUGACUCAUGCCCUGCCUCCUCCCCAAUCCCCCUCCCACCACUCUCGCACACCUUCCCCACCCCUCCCUCUUCCCCCAGCCAGCCGCUGCACCCACAAUACGCCCUCCUUCGUUCCUUCCCCACGCAUUCAACCAGCCAGUCAGCAUCUAUCCUUGGUUCAUCUCCUCCCCGAGGCUGAAACAGAGCCCUCAGAGCCCUAUGCACCCUUCCUUGUCCCGAGAAAGAGGGAAGGCGAUGGGGGAGGCAGUGACGGCGACCUUGAGAGGGUAGGAGUGGGGAGAGGCACAGAGGGAGCAGAGAGGGUAGGAAGAAGGGAGGGAAGAUGAGCGGAGAGGCACGAGGGAGGAGGGAAGAGCCACGCUACAUCACCACACAAUACCCUCCCCUUCACACACACACACACACACACACACACACACAAGUGCCUCUCGCUCUCCGCUGAUACAAGAGGCGUCAUCUCAAGCUGUCUAAUGCUGCAUGGUUGCCAGACACAGGUGUAAAUUUUUAUCUGCAGAAGGAGCAGAAAGAGGAUAUAUAGAAAGGGCGACCACCUACAGAAAGAGGAAGAAAAGCCGGAAAAUCUUCAAGAAAACGCGGGAGAAAAUGUGGAGGAUGAAAUAUACGAGGAAGAGAAAGCAGGGAGGAUGAUCUACACGAGGAAGAGAAGGGAAAAGGGGGAGAGAAAGCAUGGUGGAAAGCGGCUGAUGUCAGAGAUAAGAGAUGAUAGUGGAACGUGACUGUUGUUGGUAUUGUCAUUGUCCUCUGACUGUGUGUGUGUGUGUGUGUGUGUGUGUGUGCGCUUGGCAUGUGUAUGUAUUUGUUCAAGGAUAAUCUUGUGGCUAAUAGUCUGACCUCUCUCUCUCUCUCUCUCUCUCUCUCUCUCUCUCUCUCUCUCUCUCUCUCUCUCUUUCUCUCUCAUCACCCCCUUGAGGUAAGCAUCAGAUUAAACACUGAUUCAACAUCCUGGUUGUAGAAUUUAUUUUAUUAUUUUCUUCUUUUGUCAAUAUAUUAUUUCUUAAGACGGAAAAACACGGAUAAAUGAAUCAUAAUUAUCGCAGACUGAUAUCUAAUCACACACACACACACACACACACACAAUUUUCUAAACCGAGUAAGUUGAUCAAAGAGAUGUUGACUAAUAAUGGAAUCGUGUGUUCUAAAGGACAUACGUAGACAAGUUGAAGAUAUAUUUCAAUGACAACAUGGGAUAUACAAUAGAGGGACAUCUACGUGCCUGACUCAACCCUGUAAAUAGGAAUUAACUCACACACUUCAUGCACAGGUACGUAAAUACUUCUUUCUACUUUCUCUUCCUUGUGUAAAUAUUCUCCUCCAUGUUUUCCCUCACUCACUAACUCAUUGCCCUCAUGAUUUCCCUCUUUCUUCACCUUCACCUCUUUUUGUAGAUAAUCCUGCUUCCUAUGAUAUUUCCUCCUGCACACACACACACACACGCACACUCGCGGCCUCCAGGGGACCACACACUCUCACUUCAGGAGGGACACCAAGGCCGCUGAAGUGUGCCAGCAUUCCACACUUCCACGCAAGACUACAUUCCUCAUGGCCCAGCAGAAACGGGGAUGAGAGGGAGGAGAAAGAGGAGAAGGGGGAGGAUGGGGUAGGGAGGAGAGAUGGGGGGGAGGGCUGACUUAUUCAUUUUAGGCCAGUAGAGAAGGAGAGAAAAAGAAAGGGGAGGAGGAUAAAGAGGAGGGUAAGGGCAGGACUGAUUUAGGAAAAAUCUGAGGAAUGGAUGCGGCCGUGACAGCAUCCGGAAGGCCGCUUUGAUGUCUAAUUUUUCCUCCUUUGCCAUAAGUUACUGUGCGCCCCCUCCACCCCUCUUUUUCAACGUUUCUGUCCUCUUCCAAGAAACACACACACACACACACACAGUGAACUUCAAGUCAUCAGUAUUUUUUUUCAUUCCUUUUAGUCAAUGAGUCACUUUCAUCUACACACACACACACACACACACACACACACACGAACUGAUGACUGAAGAGAAACUAUCAACCUCCACUUAUAUCCCAAGGCACUGCGGAGUCACGGUGGUUAACUUUUUUUUUUGUCUUCGUGUGUUCUUUUUUCUUUCCUUUUGUUCCACGACGAAAAUAUAUCGCUCGGCUACACCUGAACGAGGCUGCCGGGAGGAAAACACGGAAAGAAAAUAUAACGACAAAAAUAAAAGCGACGACGUAUUCACAAAUGUCUGGCAAUCAUGACCCAACCCGACCGACCAGACUGGCGAUCUGAACCCAUCAAGGAAUAAAUUUAACUCCAAUAAUAAUCACAAUAAUAAUAAUAAUAAUAAUGAUGAAAAUAGAAAGGACGAGAGAAGCAUCACAGAACAAAGAACAAGAAAAAUUAAUCGAAAAACAGUGUGUGUGUGUGUAAGAGAGAGAGAGAGAGAGAGAGAGAGAGAGAGACUUAGCUUAUGACAACACAAUUUUUUUUUUUCACAACUUUUCCUGGACGUGGCUUCUCGCAAUCAUCACCAACCUUCGGAAACGUUUAUAUUGGGAUGAAAAUAUUGGGUUACAGAUCAACUUGGCGCCAUAAACAAGAGACUGGCCAAGAAAGAAGCACUGAUUAAGAGAAGGAAAGAGAGGAAGAAGGAAAAGGAGGAGGAGGAGAUAAGAGAAGAAGAAAAAGGAGGAGGAGGAGAUAAGAGAAGAAGGAAAAGGAGGAGGAGGAGAUAAGAGAAGAAGGAAAAGGAGGAGGAGGA